AUGAAGACCCAACUGCAACAUUCCGCAGGCCCUGGAAAUUCUCCCCCUUCUGGAGUUUUCUAUGGACCAGCCAUCACAUUCAGAGUCAACAAAGUGACAGAGAAGAUGUUAAUCAGGUCAAAAAUCCUGAGCCAGGAUUCUCACCCGAGUUUGCAAGCCUGGAUAAAAAAGUGUAAAUGGAGUUCCCCAUUGUGGCUCAGCGGUGAGCGAACUCGACGAGCAUCCACGAGGACGCGGGUUGUUCGAUCCCUGGCCUCACUCAGUGGGUUAAGGAUCUGGCAUUGCCUGUGACCUGUGGUGUAUGUUGCAGACAGGGCUCCGAUCCCCUGUUGCUGUGGCUGUGGCGCAGGCGGGUGGCUACAGCUCUGAAUGGACCCCUAGCCUGGGAACCUCCACAUGCCGCGGGUGCAGCCCUAAAAGACAAAAAGAACAACAACAAAAAAAGUGUGGAUGGAAACCAGGAAACUGAAAAACCCUUUAACAGCCAAAUCCUGGACUGAAAGUGGUUUGCAGCUAACCCACACCCAAGAAGGUGGAGCAAGGAAUGAGACAGAUGAAGCCUGCAACGCCGUUUUCAGCAACGGCAAAGAAAUGGCACUCACGCCAGACCCUCUGAAUGACGUCCCGGGGAAAGGAAUUGAGAGCAAACUGAAUUGGGAGUAGGAGUUUCCUCAUCGCCUAGAGACGCCUUCCUCUGAUACUAAGACCCUGGCACACUGUUGCUUUCAUCACAGUUCACAGAAUCUCAGAUCUGGACGGAUGAGGUUGUCUCAGAAUCCUGGCAUCUUUAGAUGCCUUUCCUUCCAAAGGAUUCAUGGUAGGAUCCAUAAUUCUGGCCGAGCAUCUGGUAUACCUGAUACCCUGAUAUUGUAUCAAUAUAUUGUAGCUAUUCAAAACAAGGACCUCCAAGGAGUUCCCCUGGUGCCACUGUAGAGCAUUGAUCUGGGUUGUCUCUGUGGAGGCACCGGUGCCAUCCUAGGCUCCCAGUGUGGCUGCAGCUGUGGUGUAGGUCCCAGAUCCCUGCGGUCUUACCUCCUUAUUGGCUAUGUUACCGGCAUGAAAUAAUAAUCAGCUUCCACAAGCCUUCUGCCGUGUGGUCCCCUCCAUCUUCAAACCAGCAACGGAGAACCAAUUGCAUGUUAAAUACGGUACUUCAGCUCUUUUUAUCCAGAAAGGGUCCCCAUCCUUUUAAAGAACUUGCCUGAGGCCAAGCCCACUAAGCAUAACCUCCCUGUCUUAAACUCAGUUUUGCCAAACAGCAUGAGCCCAUCACCAAAGAGAUGGCCCAUCAUAUCUGCAGCUUUCUCUUACACCGAGGACAGAGAAGAUGACACAGAUGACUGGGAGUCAAUUUAGAAUCCUGUCCACCAUAGUAACCAUCCAAAUACUGCUCCUAGAUUUAGCCUCCUAAAAAUUAGUUCAGAAACAUUGUACGUUUUCUCAAAAGCCAGUAAGUGGUUGCUCAUUACCAACCAAAUUUAAGCUAAACAAAAUAAAUCCACAGUUCAGUAUUCAUGGCCCUCCGCAGUUUGUCCUUGACCUUAUUUUCUGGUGUCUCUCUAUUUCCCACAUAUGCUCUAUGCUUUAGCCACAGGAGGCGGUUCUUUUUUUCACUCACAGUCUUCCUUUGCCUGGUUUGGGCUCCUCAAGACCCACCUGAAAAUGUUCCCUUCCUGAGCAGGGAUCCCGUAUCCGUCCAACGGCUUGGAAGUUCUUAUCCUUUAAAGCUUCACGGCAUCUAGUACCUCUCCUAGCACUUAAGAAAUUCUGUCGCACGCUGCCUGUGUUUACUUUGAUAAAGACAUAGCUGCUUCUCUAAGAAAACCCAGCUCCCUCGGGGUUGGCAGCAGUGGGAGAACUUCCACCUGGGAACAAAGGCUGGACCUCUUGUUGGACUCUUCAUGCCCCUAGAUUUUCCACCUGCCCCAUCUUUCUCGGGCUGAUUCCCGUCUUUACUGUUGCACUGCACUAAAGGACUCUGCCAUGCCUUUUCGCUCCCACUCUGGUUGAGCUUGAAUAGACAACUAAUGUAAUUCGGGGUUUUUGUCCCAUAGUUGAAGCAAGCCCGGAACUUGCAAACAAUAAUUGACUAAAGGCUCAUGGAAAUAAACACACAGAGAUCAAUACAUAGCUCCCUAAUCUGGCUUUCACCACAUGUUGAUUUUCUGCUCUUGGGAUUUUUUGUUCCUGGCUCCUGUCCUACCAUCAUUGUUGGUAAUAAUUAUUUACCGAACAUCUAUGAUGAAUCAGAAAUCCCUGUAGGUGCUAGAGAUGCAGUGGGAACAAAGUGAUGGUUUUUAUUUUUUUGUUUUUUUGUUUUUUGUUUUUUGUUUUUUUUGAAUCUAGGAUCAAGACUGUAAGACCCGGAGAGGCCGAGGCAGGUGAUUCCUCAUUUCUUCAUAACCCUAACCCUAACCCUAACCCAUAAGUAUUCACUGAGCAUACAUUAUGGCCCAUACACCAUUCUAGAAGUUGGGGAUUUAGCCAUACAAAAGACCAUUGAAGUCCUGCCUUCAUGGAGUUUAUAUUCCAAGGGAAAUGGACGUUAAAUCCAAACCAUUUCAGAAUUUCACAUAGGUAUCAGAAAGCUGCUAAAACAAAGUAAGAGGAUCCAGAAUGGUGUGUAUGUUUGGAGGGGAUGCUGGGGCUGGCGGGGUGUCCCAGGACGGUGAAAUAGUCAAGAGACAUCUCUUUGAGCCUUUGACCAACAUUUGAACUGAGAUCUGAAUGCUGGAAAAGGCCUGGAAGGAAAAGGGUCCGAACACUAGGGGAAAAUCAGAAAGGAGAGUCCACUGAGGGCUCUGCAGUGACUGAGGAUCUCACACUUUCUCAAAGAUCUGCCCUGAGAAUAACCGGCCAUUCAGAGGAUUUCCCCUCUUCUCUGCCCUAAAUGAGAAAGCUGGACAAGAAGUCAAGGCACAGACUUGGGGCUGGGGAGAGGUACAGUGUCCUGACAUGGAUCUGACUUCCUAACAGAUGCAAAGACCUGGUGUGCAGGGUCGUUAUCCGUCUUUUAUCCUCACCGCCUCCCUCUGAUUUCCUUACACAUCAUCACACGCCUAACAUAACAUUCGUGAACAGAAUCCAAGUUAAUAGCGACAAGCCGAAGGGGUGUUGCACCAGGUAGCCCCCACCAAGCACACUUGUUUUCUAAUAAACAUAGAGAAGAAAAAUGUUUAUCUUCCUAGAAUACAAAAUAACUUUCAGUGUUUCCUUGUUUCCUUUUUUUCCGAAUUCAUUUGAUCUGUUUUUCAAUUGACAUUCCUUAAAAUUUGAAUGAUAUGAAAAUGAAAGAUGACUAAACAAAUAUAAUAAGGAAAAAGAAUUAGUCAGAUCCUUGAGGGCAGAAACAGUAUUUUAUAUAUUUUCAUAUCACCCGUCGUCAUAGGACCCAAACAAAACUAAAAUUAGCAUCUUGGGAUAAAUCUUUUCAGUCUCCCUUUUUCUACGCCCAGGGCGUCGAGCGUGCUCGUUUUAUCUUUAAAAUCCUUCAAUAUUUUGACUUUUUUUCUGCUUUAUAAAGAAAUAAAUUGUAUUAUGCUGGGAAUAAUAUAGUUAUUAUUAUGUAUUAUGUAUG
rnacentral:lncRNA from 1 species